UGGACCGAUGAUGAGAGCUCCUCGGUGUGAAUUCUGGAUAAUGAAAGAAACAUGCUGAAACUCUGAGGUCCAA